UUACAAUUUAAAGCCCUAAAUGGCUUGGGUACAGAUUGUCUGAAAGAUCACCUUUACUGAUAUAAUCCUGUCAGUAUGCUAAGAUCUACCACAGUCAAGAUUAGUUUGCUGUAUGUAAGAAUGGGCCUUGUCAGUGGUGAUCCCCAAACCAUUCAACUUCUGUUCCCAAAGACCUUCCUCUUUACAAUUGCCUUCAACUUAGAUGAUUAACAGCUUGGAUCUCCAGAGUAGCUUCUCAUUUUUUUGACUACAUGGGCAUAACCAGGAUUUUUGUGGCGGAGGCAGGCUUUUGUUGGGGGGCAAACCUCAGUUAAGUAUUUGUAUUGAUUUUUAUCGAUUGGGGGGCAGCUGCUGCCCCACCCCCUUUGCUACACCCAUGUUUGACUAUAUUUUUAUAUUGUAAUUUGUCUCUCACUCCCUUGCUCAUUACUUUGUGAGAAAGUAGUCCUAGAAAGUGGCUUAAAAUACUUUUAAUUAAUGAAUUAAAAUAAUAAUAUAGUGCAGAGGAUCAAACAUAGCCAGUGAUCUAAGACAGCCCACCAAAUUCAUAGCAGUGCUAAGAUUUGAACUAAUAAUCUGCAUGCAGCUCAUUACCCAUCCUCUCAACUACUAUAUACUUUUAACAGACUAAAGCAAGAGAUAAUAGACUCAGGCUCCCCUUGCAGGCACUGGAUUUAUCACAGCAGGAUACCCAGAUUUCCAGUUUAACCUGGAAAUAUCACCAGAUUAACCACUAAGUGGUUCCCCCCCCUUUUUUUUUACUGAAACAGUUGUGUUGAUAAGAUAGCAAGAUUUUAAGUCACACAGAACACUCCUUCGGACUGGAGGCUACAUCUCAAAGCAAUCCCCGCACGACGCUUUUCUUCCCAUCGUGGGGCCUCACUUUCACUCUACAUUUCUUUUAGCCGCUUCUAUGCAGCAAAAACGAAGCAAAUAAACUGAGGUUUAUGGUAUGCAACCUAAACCGCGCAGCUAUUACCAUGGGAACCUAUAUUUACUGCUCCUGCAAAUAAAAUUCCUGUCUCCCAGGACCCGAAUGGUUUCUGCGUGCAGUCUUGGAUUGGGAAGGAAUACCGCAUGUGCGCCGUAUGUAUGGAAAAUAUAACCUAACGUCCUUCCUGAAAAGAGAGAGCACGGAGCUAUGGAAUAUUCUGCACGUUCUCUAGUGCCGCGAUCACGAGACACUGACUUAAUCCCCCGGGGGCUCUCACUAGGAGAAGAAGGGACUGGCUGAUGCAAAAGUCUCUCUCCAGGAGAAGGGUGAAAAUUGCGCGCGGGGUUCCGGCUAUUCCCCAUUACUGGAAUGUCCCAGAAACAGAGUGCUUUGCCAGGAGGGAGGAGGGACCCGGCCGGGACUGCUGGGAUGCGCCCAGCCCGCCCCUGGCGGCCGGUAGGGGCUCUUGGGAGGCUGCCAGGGAGCUGCGGUAACAGCACCUUCACCGCUCUUGACUCUCCAACUGCGCUGUGUCCUGCUCAGACUUCAGGAAAUAUGGAGAAGCUACACAUCUUUUUGUUUCCAGCCUCCUCUGCCCAGAUGCAGGAGAAGCUCAAAAAGGCAGUCCCCUUUGUAGUCUCUCCCACCCUUCUGCAAAGCUUUUAAGGGAGACAGGGGAGUGUUUGAAUAGGGCUGUAUGCAUACUAUCCAAAUCUGACUGGUGUUUGUAUAUAUGAGCCUAAAGCAAGACCCCUGAGCUGCAUAAAACUUCAGAGGCAGAACAAUAAAUCCAUCAUUAGUUUCUCCAAACAUGUCCCGCUCUAUAACAUUUUUCUACUAUAUCACAAUAAAUUCUCUGUGCAGGUGGUAUUAUGAUCAC